UAGCCAUAUCAUUUUGAAACACCGGCUCUCAUACGAACACCAAAGUUAAGCAAUGAUGAGUUUGGUUAUUAUUGAGAUGGGGGACUACUUGGGAAUACCAGGUGUUGU